AGUUUGCUCAAGGGACUCAAGGAGGUGUGGAUCUCUAUCUCCGGCUAGCUGCCGCUGAUUUGGACUCAUCAGAAAGUUCCUCAAGCAAGAGGAAGCAUAUAGUUGCAGUAGUCAUCCCAUUUGGGCUAGCUUUUAUCAUAUUCUCUUGCUGUGGGAUGUACACCAUAAGAAAGAAAAGAAAGCAGGGUGUAAGGCAUGGUUAUGUGAAGGAGAGCAGAG